CCCUUAGAUGUUCUGGGCUGCACGCGCGCUACACUGAUGCGCUCAACGAGUUUACGACCUUGCCCGGAAGGGUUGGGUAAUCUUUUUAAAACGCAUCGUGAUGGGGAUAGAUUAUUGCAAUUAUUAAUCUUUAACGAGGAAUUCCUAGUAAGCGCGAGUCAUCAGCUCGUGCUGAAUACGUCCCUGCCCUUUGUACACACCGCCCGUCGCUCCUACCGAUUGAGUGGUCCGGUGAGGCUUUGGGAUCUGAGCGGAAAGAGCGUUUCGCUGUUUCUGCUCGGAAAACUCAGUCGAACCUUAUCAUUUAGAGGAAGGAGAAGUCGUAACA
rnacentral:rRNA from 1 species